AUUGUCUCCAUGAAAGAUCAAGAUGUGCAGAAACAGAACAGCAGAGUGGUUCCUGUAAGAUUCUUCUACUUUCGGUGGCCAUACCUCAAGAUAAGAAUGAAAACUUAGUGCGGAUCAAAGUAUCAAAACUCAGUUGGUGUGAGAAGGAUGGAAAAUGUGUUCUAAAUCCGGUUUUAAGUCCUCUUGGAAAAUACGUUCUUAAUCUGGUUCCAAGUCCUCUUGGAAAUUCUGUAGAAGUUCAUUGGAAAGUUGAAGAAAAUGUUCUGAAACAUGCAUCUCCAGAAGGAAUUAUGAAGGCUUCUGGAGAAGUUGACAUGGAGGCCCUUAUUACAACUGAUGACGCUAUAUGGAGAGGCUUUGGAGCUUGGGAUGAUAAUUAACUUUCUUCCCAUUACAAUUGAUUCUACUCACUUUGAAGCCACCAUCCACGAUGCACGCAUAUCUCCCCAUGUAAUCUACAAGCGGUGUUUCAUAACAAUGCGGACUGGCUGGACAGAAUCUAUAGAAGUGGAUUAGUUGAGUUUUUGCUCGCAUGCGCAAGUUGUUGCACUUGACGUUUCUCAUAAUUGCAAGACUUUAAGUACGAUCACAACACGUUAGUUCAUGAUAUGAGUUUAUUUUGAAGAGGAA